GGGCUUGUAGAUCAACGGUAGAUCGUUUCGUUCGCAACGAAAAGGUUAGGAGUUCAAAUCUCCUCAAGUCCA
rnacentral:tRNA from 9 species